ACAAGACCCUGCGAGGCUGCCGAGCUGGCAUGAUCUUCUACAGGAAAGGAGUGAAAAGUGUGGAUCCCAAGACUGGCAAAGAGAUUCUGUACAACCUGGAGUCUCUUAUCAAUUCUGCUGUGUUCCCUGGCCUGCAGGGAGGUCCCCACAACCACGCCAUUGCUGGGGUUGCUGUGGCCCUGAAGCAAGCUAUGACUCUGGAAUUUAAAGUUUAUGAGCACCAGGUGGUGGCCAACUGCAGGGCUCUGUCUGAGGCACUGAUGGAGCUGGGCUACAAAAUAGUCACAGGUGGUUCUCACAACCAUUUGAUCCUCGUGGAUCUCUGUUCCAAAGGCACAGACGGUGGAAGGGCUGAGAAGGUGCUAGAAGCCUGUUCUAUUGCCUGCAACAAGAACACCUGCCCAGGUGACAGAAGUGCUCUGCGGCCCAGUGGACUGUGGCUGGGGACCCCAGCACUGACGUCUCGCGGACUUUUGGAAAAAGACUUCCAAAAAGUAGCCCAGUUUAUUCACAGAGGGAUAGAGCUGACCCUGCAGAUCCAGAGCGACAUUGGUGUCAGAGCCACCCUGAAGGAGUUCAAGGAGAGACUGGCAGGGGAUAAGUACCAGGGGGCCGUGCAGGCUCUCCGGGAGGAGGUUGAGAGCUUCGCCUCUCUCUUCCCUCUGCCUGGCCUGCCCGACUUCUAAAGGAGCCGGUCCGCUCUGGACCCGCCUGGCGCCACAGAGGAAGCCGCCUGCCGGAGGACCCCCACUUGAGAAAUGGAUGAGCUGCUCCACAGGGGAACCGUUGACACUUGGGCCCUCUGAGGGAGUUUCUUUUGGACUUUUUUCAUGUUUUCUUCACAAAUCAAAAUUUGUUUAAGUCUCACCGUUAGUAAUUCUGGGACAGGUUAUUAAUUAAAGGAUUUAAAUUUGAACCUGGCUUUCUCACAGCUGGAUCUAAUUCUAGAAAAAUAAAAUACUAUGUAGCCACUUGGCCAUAAUCAUUUAGACCGUGGUGUAGGGCAAAGCUAUUAGGAAGAUUCUAGCGUUUUACUCUCCCUGGGCUUUCCUCCGCCUUGCUGCAACAGAGAGGAAAUGCCCGUGUCCACAGGUUGUACACACUGCCCCUCUCACUAUCUUGUUAUCCAGUGGCAUGCCAAAGGAGAACUGAAUUCGCCUCUGAACCUUCUGCUGUAAACCAGAAGUGUAUGUCAGCCAAGUGUACACAAGAUGCACCCAGUAUGGUGGGAGGGUUUUGCUGUCAGUAACUCAAAGUUUGGUGUAGCAAUGGUCUCCUCCCUCCAUCCUGGGAAGUCACAGUCCCAUCCUGGUGUGAGAAUCAACCAGGCUUUCCUGCUCCACCUGAGAUAACCAACUCCUUCCCGUAAUCAGGAAGCCAAAUGUCACCUUCCCAAAGAAACUUUAUUUUCACGUAGCUGAAGUGCAAAACAUAGAUGACCAUUUUUAAUAAGCACAAUCAAAUUUUUAACCACAGAAUGUCUACAAGAAUUAUAGCUUUAAAAAAUACAACCAAUUUUCAUAUUUCAAAAAUAUUUGAACUCAAAUAAAUUAAUUUCUUAAAA